rnacentral:rRNA from 1 species
CAACUAUCAACAGUGGAUCCCUAGGCUCUUGCAUCGAUGAAGAACGUAGCGAAUUGCGAAAACUAAUGCGACUUGCUUUAUCGUGAACCAUCGAGUCUUUGAACGCACAUUGCACUCUGUACUCUGUACAGAGUAUACCUGUUUGAGCAUCAGUU